rnacentral:rRNA from 1 species
GGGUUGGAAACCUCUUUUUUAGGGAGGAAUAAAAUGACGUGUACCGGAAGAAGAAGCAUCGGCAAAAUCCGGGCCAGCAGCCGCGGUAAGACGGAGGAUGCAAGUGUUAUCCGGAAUCACUGGGCGUAAAGCUCCUGUCGGUGGUUUAAUAAGUCAACUGUUAAAUCUUGAGGCUCAACUUCAAAAUCGCAGUCCAAACUAUUAGACUAGAGUAUAGUAUAGGUAAAGGGAAUUUCCAGUGGAGCGGUGAAAUGCGUAAAUAUUGAAAAGAACACCGAUGGCGAAAGCACUUUACUGGGCUAUUACUAACACUCAUAGACAAAAGCUAGGGUAGCAAAUGGGAUUAGAUACCCCAGUAGUCCUAGCCGUAAACUAUGGAUACUAGAUGUUGAACAGAUCGACCUGUGGAGUAUCAAAGCUAACGCGUUAAGUAUCCCGCCUGGGAAGUAUGCUCGGAAGAGUGAAACUCAAAGGAAUUGACGGGGAGGAUU